rnacentral:rRNA from 1 species
GAUGAACGCUGACAGCAUGCUUAACACAUGCGAGUCGAUGGGGAAGUGGAUCUUGCCCCUUGGUACCCCUGGCGGACGGGGGAGUAACGCGUAAGGAACUUACCUGCUGGACUGGGAUAACAGCAGGAAACUGCUGACAAAGCCGGAGAAAGUCCUUAAUCUGCUUAGUUUAUUGAUGAAAGGAGACGCCUGCGGAGAGCCUUGCGUCCUAUUAGCUAGUGGGAGGGGUAACGGCCCACCAAGGAGAUGAUAGGUAGCCGGCCUGAGAGGGUGUACGGCCACAAGGGGACGGAGAGACGGCGGUGACUACUACGGGAGACAGAAGUGGGGAAUAUUGGACAAUGGGGGCAACCCUGAUCAAGCAAUUCUGUGUGAAAGAAGACGGUUAUCGGAAUGUAAAGUGCUUGCAGGAGGGAAGAAGGAAGUGACGGUACCUGAAGAAGAAGCGACGGCUAACUACGUG